UUAAGCGACUAAGCGUACACGGUGGAUGCCCUGGCAGUCAGAGGCGAUGAAGGACGUGCUAAUCUGCGAUAAGCGUCGGUAAGGUGAUAUGAACCGUUAUAACCGGCGAUUUCCGAAUGGGGAAACCCAGUGUGUUUCGACACACUAUCAUUAACUGAAUCCAUAGGUUAAUGAGGCGAACCGGGGGAACUGAAACAUCUAAGUACCCCGAGGAAAAGAAAUCAACCGAGAUUCCCCCAGUAGCGGCGAGCGAACGGGGAGGAGCCCAGAGCCUGAAUCAGUGUGUGUGUUAGUGGAAGCGUCUGGAAAGGCGCGCGAUACAGGGUGACAGCCCCGUACACAAAAAUGCACAUACUGUGAGCUCGAUGAGUAGGGCGGGACACGUGGUAUCCUGUCUGAAUAUGGGGGGACCAUCCUCCAAGGCUAAAUACUCCUGACUGACCGAUAGUGAACCAGUACCGUGAGGGAAAGGCGAAAAGAACCCCGGCGAGGGGAGUGAAAAAGAACCUGAAACCGUGUACGUACAAGCAGUGGGAGCCUCUUUAUGGGGUGACUGCGUACCUUUUGUAUAAUGGGUCAGCGACUUAUAUUCUGUAGCAAGGUUAACCGAAUAGGGGAGCCGAAGGGAAACCGAGUCUUAACUGGGCGUUAAGUUGCAGGGUAUAGACCCGAAACCCGGUGAUCUAGCCAUGGGCAGGUUGAAGGUUGGGUAACACUAACUGGAGGACCGAACCGACUAAUGUUGAAAAAUUAGCGGAUGACUUGUGGCUGGGGGUGAAAGGCCAAUCAAACCGGGAGAUAGCUGGUUCUCCCCGAAAGCUAUUUAGGUAGCGCCUCGUGAAUUCAUCUCCGGGGGUAGAGCACUGUUUCGGCAAGGGGGUCAUCCCGACUUACCAACCCGAUGCAAACUGCGAAUACCGGAGAAUGUUAUCACGGGAGACACACGGCGGGUGCUAACGUCCGUCGUGAAGAGGGAAACAACCCAGACCGCCAGCUAAGGUCCCAAAGUCAUGGUUAAGUGGGAAACGAUGUGGGAAGGCCCAGACAGCCAGGAUGUUGGCUUAGAAGCAGCCAUCAUUUAAAGAAAGCGUAAUAGCUCACUGGUCGAGUCGGCCUGCGCGGAAGAUGUAACGGGGCUAAACCAUGCACCGAAGCUGCGGCAGCGACGCUUAUGCGUUGUUGGGUAGGGGAGCGUUCUGUAAGCCUGCGAAGGUGUGCUGUGAGGCAUGCUGGAGGUAUCAGAAGUGCGAAUGCUGACAUAAGUAACGAUAAAGCGGGUGAAAAGCCCGCUCGCCGGAAGACCAAGGGUUCCUGUCCAACGUUAAUCGGGGCAGGGUGAGUCGACCCCUAAGGCGAGGCCGAAAGGCGUAGUCGAUGGGAAACAGGUUAAUAUUCCUGUACUUGGUGUUACUGCGAAGGGGGGACGGAGAAGGCUAUGUUGGCCGGGCGACGGUUGUCCCGGUUUAAGCGUGUAGGCUGGUUUUCCAGGCAAAUCCGGAAAAUCAAGGCUGAGGCGUGAUGACGAGGCACUACGGUGCUGAAGCAACAAAUGCCCUGCUUCCAGGAAAAGCCUCUAAGCAUCAGGUAACAUCAAAUCGUACCCCAAACCGACACAGGUGGUCAGGUAGAGAAUACCAAGGCGCUUGAGAGAACUCGGGUGAAGGAACUAGGCAAAAUGGUGCCGUAACUUCGGGAGAAGGCACGCUGAUAUGUAGGUGAAGCGACUUGCUCGUGGAGCUGAAAUCAGUCGAAGAUACCAGCUGGCUGCAACUGUUUAUUAAAAACACAGCACUGUGCAAACACGAAAGUGGACGUAUACGGUGUGACGCCUGCCCGGUGCCGGAAGGUUAAUUGAUGGGGUUAGCGGUAACGCGAAGCUCUUGAUCGAAGCCCCGGUAAACGGCGGCCGUAACUAUAACGGUCCUAAGGUAGCGAAAUUCCUUGUCGGGUAAGUUCCGACCUGCACGAAUGGCGUAAUGAUGGCCAGGCUGUCUCCACCCGAGACUCAGUGAAAUUGAACUCGCUGUGAAGAUGCAGUGUACCCGCGGCAAGACGGAAAGACCCCGUGAACCUUUACUAUAGCUUGACACUGAACAUUGAGCCUUGAUGUGUAGGAUAGGUGGGAGGCUUUGAAGUGUGGACGCCAGUCUGCAUGGAGCCGACCUUGAAAUACCACCCUUUAAUGUUUGAUGUUCUAACGUUGGCCCCUGAUCGGGGUUGCGGACAGUGUCUGGUGGGUAGUUUGACUGGGGCGGUCUCCUCCUAAAGAGUAACGGAGGAGCACGAAGGUUGGCUAAUCCUGGUCGGACAUCAGGAGGUUAGUGCAAUGGCAUAAGCCAGCUUGACUGCGAGCGUGACGGCGCGAGCAGGUGCGAAAGCAGGUCAUAGUGAUCCGGUGGUUCUGAAUGGAAGGGCCAUCGCUCAACGGAUAAAAGGUACUCCGGGGAUAACAGGCUGAUACCGCCCAAGAGUUCAUAUCGACGGCGGUGUUUGGCACCUCGAUGUCGGCUCAUCACAUCCUGGGGCUGAAGUAGGUCCCAAGGGUAUGGCUGUUCGCCAUUUAAAGUGGUACGCGAGCUGGGUUUAGAACGUCGUGAGACAGUUCGGUCCCUAUCUGCCGUGGGCGCUGGAGAACUGAGGGGGGCUGCUCCUAGUACGAGAGGACCGGAGUGGACGCAUCACUGGUGUUCGGGUUGUCAUGCCAAUGGCACUGCCCGGUAGCUAAAUGCGGAAGAGAUAAGUGCUGAAAGCAUCUAAGCACGAAACUUGCCCCGAGAUGAGUUCUCCCUGAGACUUUAAGUCUCCUGAAGGAACGUUGAAGACGACGACGUUGAUAGGCCGGGUGUGUAAGCGCAGCGAUGCGUUGAGCUAACCGGUACUAAUGAACCGUGAGGCUUAACCU
rnacentral:rRNA from 1 species